GCCUGAGUGGCUCAGUUGGUUGGGUGACUGACUUCCGCUCAGGUCAUGAUCUUGCUGCUUGUGGGUUCGAGCCCCACGUUGGGUU
rnacentral:tRNA from 1 species